rnacentral:rRNA from 1 species
AGCUUGCUGCUUCGCUGACGAGUGGCGGACGGGUGAGUAAUGUCUGGGAAACUGCCUGAUGGAGGGGGAUAACUACUGGAAACGGUGGCUAAUACCGCAUAACGUCGCAAGACCAAAGAGGGGGACCUUCGGGCCUCUUGCCAUCAGAUGUGCCCAGAUGGGAUUAGCUUGUUGGUGAGGUAACGGCUCACCAAGGCGACGAUCCCUAGCUGGUCUGAGAGGAUGACCAGCCACACUGGAACUGAGACACGGUCCAGACUCCUACGGGAGGCAGCAGUGGGGAAUAUUGCACAAUGGGCGCAAGCCUGAUGCAGCCAUGCCGCGUGUAUGAAGAAGGCCUUCGGGUUGUAAAGUACUUUCAGCGGAGAGGAAGGUGUUGUGGUUAAUAACCGCAUCAAUUGACGUUACCCGCAGAAGAAGCACCGGCUAACUCCGUGCCAGCAGCCGCGGUAAUACAGAGGGUGCAAGCGUUAAUCGGAAUUACUGGGCGUAAAGCGCACGCAGGCGGUCUGUCAAGUCGGAUGUGAAAUCCCCGGGCUCAACCUGGGAACUGCAUUCGAAACUGGCAGGCUUGAGUCUUGUAGAGGGGGGUAGAAUUCUGGGGUUUUUUCGGGGGGAAUUAAAAGGAGAGUGGAACUCCAUGGGUAACCGGGGGGGG